ACGAACGCUGGCGGCGUGCCUAAUACAUGCAAGUAGAACGCUGAAGAGAGGAGCUUGCUCUUCUUGGAUGAGUUGCGAACGGGUGAGUAACGCGUAGGUAACCUGCCUUGUAGCGGGGGAUAACUAUUGGAAACGAUAGCUAAUACCGCAUAACAAUGGAUGACACAUGUCAUUUAUUUGAAAGGGGCAAUUGCUCCACUACAAGAUGGACCUGCGUUGUAUUAGCUAGUAGGUGAGGUAAUGGCUCACCUAGGCGACGAUACAUAGCCGACCUGAGAGGGUGAUCGGCCACACUGGGACUGAGACACGGCCCAGACUCCUACGGGAGGCAGCAGUAGGGAAUCUUCGGCAAUGGGGGCAACCCUGACCGAGCAACGCCGCGUGAGUGAAGAAGGUUGUCGGAUCGUAAAGCUCUGUUGUAAGUCAAGAACGGGUGUGAGAGUGGAAAGUUCACACUGUGACGGUAGCUUAACAGAAAGGGACGGCUAACUACGUG
rnacentral:rRNA from 1 species